rnacentral:rRNA from 1 species
GCUUCAAUUGCCGGCGACCGGCGCACGGGUGCGUAACGCGUAUGUAACCUACCUAUAACAGGGGCAUAACACUGAGAAAUUGGUACUAAUUCCCCAUAAUAUUCGGAGAGGCAUCUCUCCGGGUUGAAAACUCCGGUGGUUAUAGAUGGACAUGCGUUGUAUUAGCUAGUUGGUGAGGUAACGGCUCACCAAGGCAACGAUACAUAGGGGGACUGAGAGGUUAACCCCCCACACUGGUACUGAGACACGGACCAGACUCCUACGGGAGGCAGCAGUGAGGAAUAUUGGUCAAUGGACGCAAGUCUGAACCAGCCAUGCCGCGUGCAGGAAGACGGCUCUAUGAGUUGUAAACUGCUUUUGUACGAGGGUAAACUCACCUACGUGUAGGUGACUGAAAGUAUCGUACGAAUAAGGAUCGGCUAACUCCGUGCCAGCAGCCGCGGUAAUACGGAGGAUUCAAGCGUUAUCCGGAUUUCUUGGGUUUAAAGGGUGCGUAGGCGGUUUGAUAAGUUAGAGGUGAAAUCCCGGGGCUUAACUCCGGAACUGCCUCUAAUACUGUUAGACUAGAGAGUAGUUGCGGUAGGCGGAAUGUAUGGUGUAGCGGUGAAAUGCUUAGAGAUCAUACAGAACACCGAUUGCGAAGGCAGCUUACCAAACUAUAUCUGAC